AGUCCAUUAGCUGUGGUGGUUACAAUACUGCAUUACCUGAAGUGAUUGCAACUUUUCAAGAAACAAUCUGAUAACUCCAAAUGGCUGGGGAAUGUGGAAUGCUACAUCUUGGAAGGAAAAGUGAAGUUGGUAAAAAGAAGAUGAACAGAUGAAGAUUAAUUUACUGUUGUUAAAUGCAAUAAAUAUAUGUAGAAAAUAAAUACGUGGCUAGUUA